rnacentral:lncRNA from 1 species
GGCCCUGCCCGUUUCGGGGUGCCGUUUUGGGGGCCCUGCCCGUUUCGGGGGGCCGUUUUCGGGGCCGUGCUGGUUUUUGGGUGCCGUUUCCGGGGCUGUGUCCAUUUUCGGGGCUGUGUCCAUUUUCGGGGUGCCGUUUUGGGGGCCCUUCUCGUUUUUGGGGUGCCGUUUUUGGGGCCCUGCCCGUUUUCGGGGCCAUGUCCAUUUUUGGGGUGCCGUUUUUGAGGCUGUGUCCAUUUUUGGGGCCAUAUCCAUUUUCGGGGUGCCGUUUCGGGGGCCCUGCCCGUUUUCGGGGCUGUAUCCAUUUUCGGGGUGCCGUUUUUGGGGCCGUAUCCAUUUUCGGGGUGCCGUUUUUGGGGCCCUGCCCAUUUCGGGGGGCCGUUGCGGGGCUCAGUCGUGGUACAUGCGCAGCAGGCAGGCGGUGAUGGCGGCCAUGUAGCGCUCCCAGAGCGCCUGGUGCCUGCGGGGGGGGGGGACAACUCGGGGGUCCCUCGCUUUUGGGGAGCCCCCCCGGCCCUCCAAACACCCCCAGCCCCCCCGGGCGCGUUCAGGGCUCCCCUAAUGGCGGCUGGGGGGACAUUCGGGGUUCCUGGUUUGGGGGGGUCACCCGAGGCCCGGCAGGUUCUGGGGGGAUUUGGGGGGAAUUUGGGGGGAUUUGGGGUGGUUUCAGGGGGAUUAGGGGUGGUUUUGGGGGUAUUUGGGGUGGUUUUCGGGGGUUCCAGGUUUUGGGGGCUCACCUGAA